rnacentral:tRNA from 1 species
CCCUACAAGUACUGGAUCAUUGUCCCACACUUCAUAUAUGCUCUAACCCCAAAGUACUCUGAAUGGGGAUGUAGCUCAUUGGUAGGGUUCCUGCUUUGCAUGCAGGAGUCCGUGGGUUUGAUUCCCAGCAUCCCCAAAACUUUUUAACUGUUUGCUUUCAGGAUCUAUUCUCCCUUUAAUUGUAACAUUUCAGGAUCUAUUCGCACAAAGUAUGUCAGAUUUUAACUUCUUGUUAUGAGCUUAUAGUUGCAUAGCUACUUAGUGGAUGAAAUGGCUUAACAGUCACGUGACAACCAGUGAGGUGAGGAGAACCUGGUCAUUCCCACAAGGAUAUGCUUUCUUAUCACAAAGAAACUAAGCUCUGCUUUCCUUCUGGUGGCAGGUUCUCCAUGGUAUGAUUUCUACGGGGAUAACAAGAGUGAAGAGUUCUCGGAGACCGAAAAAGAGAGGAAGAGCUGUGCAGAGCCAUUGCUGGUUACUGAACACAGGAAGCAUUUGUGGUUGUCAUAGAAACCUGGGGUCAUUAUGGUGACCGUUUUCAAUGGCUACCCAGGUGAUGUCCUGGAAAGGAGAAUUCCUGCUAUUUGUACUGAGUGAGCUUCAGGGUUCCCGGAGGUCUCACUGUGUGUGUUCAGGGGAAUGUGAUGAACUGGGAAGAGGAAGACCAUCAUUGCAUAACUUCCACUGAUGGAGUCUGCACAGGCAAGCUACCACCAUUCCAUAUCAUGGCUUUUAUGUGCUGUCUCAUCCUGGUUUCCGCUGUUUAAUGUGUAAUAUUUCCUCUUAUGCUGCCUUCCAGUAUAAAAGCAAAGGAUUUAAUCUCUGCAUCCCAGAAGCUGGAGCUGGUAGAGAAGAAUACAUUGUGAUGUGACAUCUGUCAGACAGAAAGGGUGACUGGAACAUGGUGACAUUAUGGGUAAGUCACUUGUCUUCCUGCAUCCUUAUCCAUUAAGGGCGAUCACACUAUCCAGUCUUUUGUUCAUCAGCAAACCUUUGAGGCAUCAAUGCCUUGUCAUCUCAGAUGGAUGGUAGGACCAUGUACUUUGCAGUAAAUUAUAUUAUAUCAACUGUUCCAGGACUUCCUGGUCGGUGUUAUACUGGAGGCACUCUGACCUGGUGAGUGCCUGCAUGUCUAAACUUUCUGAUAUUACUGUGAAUAUAUUCCCUUCACUUGAACCCUUCUAAGAACAGAGUCUCCAACACAUUUUCUCUAUGUCUAAAGAGGACCACAUCAUAUCCCAUCCCAUUAUAUUUCUUUCAUGAACUAUCACACAGAACUGAGA